GGGAGAAAAGAACUGCUCUGAAGAGAGACCCUUGUGCUGCGCCUCUCCAGGUCCCAGGGGCGAUGGGGUGGGGAUCAGGCACGGAGGACAGGAAGGUUUUCCAGCAAUCCCUCCACUCAUCUCCGGUGCUGUCUGCCACCUCCUCCACGCAUUUGUGUCUGGAAAUACUUGCACGCCUAAGUCCAUGGAGCAGAUCAGCUAUUUUAAUGCACUGUUCUGUACUUACAAGCCGUGGAAUUGAAAGCCAAAAGGAAGCCACGACUCCAACUUUCUUCACUUUCAAGGCAGUGGUUAAAACUUUCUGAUGGGUAAGUAAUCUGAUCACACUGAACUUGG
rnacentral:lncRNA from 1 species